CCUUUUUAUCUAAAGUUUCUGGUGUAUUUAUAGAUAUACAUCUCUUUAUAUAUACAUAUAUAUAUAUACAUACAUAUAUAUAUAUAUCAUUAUCAAUGAAAUGCUUGAAAAUAAGGCAAAUAGAGAAGUAUUGGGGUGUCUUUUAAUGGUGGUUGCCCUCUCUCUAUUUUGUCACCAAAGAAAAAAUAAAAUAAAAAAAUAAACCACCAUUUAUCUUAAGGGUCUGUUUGGUUAAGCAGUUGUAUUGACAAUCGGAAGUUUCUACAACAUGUAUAGAUACAUAUAAACAAAUAUUCUAAGUGUCUGUUUGGCUAAGCUGUUGUUUGGAUUGACUUAUUUACAUGAUUUUGAGCACUAUAUUAUUGCGUCGUCGCCUCUUUCUCUUUAUCUAUGAGGCUGUGAUGAUGACUAAUGGAGUCCGUCUACAGUUGGGUCGGGUAUUUGGAGCUUGCCCCGUAUCUUGGCAGGCUGACCUAGUAAGGUCUGUAGCCAUGGCGGAUGUAUUGUUUUCUUUAGCCCUACUUAUAAUAUCUAAGCCUUAAAUCGGAAGUUUCUGCAAUAUGUAUACAUACUCACAUUCAUCAUCCAUUUAUGUCUUUGUAUUUUCUAUUAUGUAGAAGAAGUGGUUUUGACAUGUGUGUUUCAUGUCCAAAAAAAUUUAUAGCAAGGGCGUUGUACUCAUUUACCCUACUAAGAUGAUAACGUAUAUAUGUGUACCUUUUCUAUGAUAUGAAAAAUUCGUAUCGACAUGGGAAGAUAUAAGGUUGUUGGCAUCUUUUUUUGUAC
rnacentral:lncRNA from 1 species